GAUUGAACGCUGGCGGCAGGCCUAACCCAUGCAAGUCGAGCGGAUGAAGGGAGCUUGCUCCUGGAUUCAGCGGCGGACGGGUGAGUAAUGCCUAGGAAUCUGCCUGGUAGUGGGGGAUAACGUCCGGAAACGGGCGCUAAUACCGCAUGCGUCCUGAGGGAGAAAGUGGGGGAUCUUCGGACCUCACGCUAUCAGAUGAGCCUAGGUCGGAUUAGCUAGUUGGUGGGGUAAAGGCCUACCAAGGCGACGAUCCGUAACUGGUCUGAGAGGAUGAUCAGUCACACUGGAACUGAGACACGGUCCAGACUCCUACGGGAGGCAGCAGUGGGGAAUAUUGGACAAUGGGCGAAAGCCUGAUCCAGCCAUGCCGCGUGUGUGAAGAAGGUCUUCGGAUUGUAAAGCACUUUAAGUUGGGAGGAAGGGCAGUAAGUUAAUACCUUGCUGUUUUGACGUUACCAACAGAAUAAGCACCGGCUAACUUCGUG
rnacentral:rRNA from 1 species